CAAUAACUUGCAAAUGUGUCCUAGUGCCUUCUUCCUAUGGCCAAGCUCAAUUUAAAAUAAAUUAUUUUUAAAUCACCAAAGUGAUAAAAUCACAUUAUACAAUACCGGUCCUUAAAUUUGGAUGCACAGGGCAAUCCGUUUUCAGGACCCCUCCUGUCUCUCAGGAGUUAUUUCUCAAUAAAUCUCUCCUACCUUUAACCUCCACUGUUCCUUAGAAUUCAUUCUUUGAUUUGGGGGGACAUGAACUCGGCAGAUCUGACAUCUAGCAAGUUAGAAAUUAUAUUUCUCCGGUAUCAGUAGGUUCGCGGAUUCUUGUCAUGGAAAAAGAAUUUCCCAGACUGAAGAAAGGCUGUGUGAGGACUGAAGUGAGGAGGAGACCCUCUGCGCACCACGAAAGAGCACUCACCCGGAAGUAAACCGUGCUACAGGGAUUUCCGCCUCUAGAAGAGAUGAGGACACACCCUCAAAGAGGGGAACUAAUGGAGACUCAGGUCUUAGGACAGGUCUCAGUCUCUCUGAAGCCCCAUACAGUGUCUCCAUAAACAUCAAGCUUUUUCAGCUUUUUCCUGCCUCUGGCAAUGGAAAGCAGAGCAGUUCCAGAAAAGAAGGGGACAGAGCAUGACUAAUCUCUCUGCUAGGAAAGCGGGUAAGUGACAGACGGCAAGUGGGCUGCUUGGGUCUCUCUCCCAACUCCUUCCCGCUCUGCAGCCAUCUUCCUUCCAUCUUUCCUCUUCCAAGUAGUCUGGGAAACUCCUUCCCUUGCUAGUGUUAGUGGCAGGCUCCUUUGGGCUUCCAGUCUCUGCUCUGCCUAGCAAGGCUGGAUUCUGUCCAGGCUGACGUACAUAUCCUAGGCAGAAGGAGAGUAAAGGUGGCUCGAGGCUGUAUCAGCCACCAUUCCAGCAUUUUUUUUUUUAAACCAGGCAAAGACUGGCCUAAAUUCUGGAUCAAGGAACCUGAAAGCAUGAAAGAAUGAGGGAAUGGCCUGGUUGAGAUUCUCUCAUUGUCUUUACCAACUCAGCCUCUCCUUCAUUAAGCACCUACUCUGGAUCUCCCUGAAUCUUCA
rnacentral:lncRNA from 1 species